CUGGUUCUUAUCAGUAAAGGGUGGCAGAGGUGACAGCUGAAAGACUGACCUGACUGAGAACAAACCAACACCCAGGGGAGAGUUUUACUACAGGACUGAAGUGUUACCCUACCACAGUGUCCAGUCAUGAAAAGCACUGGAUUUCUGAUUAUAUUCCUUGAAAAACUAAGGAGAGCAGGCCACUUUGCACUCACCAAUUUGGUUCCCUUCAGCAGUCCUAGGCUUCUGAAAAGGUCUCACUUUACAAGACUUUGGAUUUUGGAAGCCCUUAUUAGAUAGCAGUUUCACAGGUGUUUCCUUACUCUACAAUUCUGCAUUUGAAGCCAGAUUGUGGAUUAAAUUGUCACCGGUAGUUUUCCAGACAGCAAAACAGUUCUAAAUAAACCCAAACUUCAAAAAGAGUAAGUAUAUAAGUAUAUAAUUAAAUGGGAGCUCUUAAAUACUCCUGGUCAUAUUUUAAUUGGCUCAGUCCUCAUGCCAAAUAAUUUGGCAAUUCAGUAUUCAUUUGAAGCCACCAAAAUAUAAAUAAUAUUGGACCCAAAAAUAACCAGAAAAGGUUAUACAAAAAGAUAAAUAAAUUUUUCUAUUUUUUAAAGUAACAGCUUUACGAAUAUUUAAUUCACAUACAAUUCAUUCAUUUAAAGUUUUCAGUCCACUGGCUUUUUGUUUGUUUACUUAUAGACAGGAUCUCUGUAUGUAGUUCAGGCCGGCCUUGAACUUGAGGUGAUCUUCCUGCCUCAGCCUCCUGGGUGCUGGGAUUAUAGGUAUGUGCCACCAUACCUGGCUCACUGGUUUUUUUUGUAAACUUCCUUUAUUCUUUAAUAUUUGUUAUUAUAACUUUUUUUUUUUUUGGUACUGGGGAUCAAACUCAGGACCUUGCGCUUGUGAGGCAGGCGCCGGAACCACUGAGCUAAAUCCCCGGCCCUACUGGUUUUUGAUAUAUUCAGCAUAACCAUUACCACAACCAAUUUGAGAACAUUUUCAUCACCUGAAAAACAAACCCAACAUCCUUUAGCUAUCACCUCUCAAUCCUAUGUCUGGCCCCACCUCUAAGCAAUUGCUCUUAUCUACUCUCUGUCUCUGCAGAGUUGCCUGUUCUUAACAUUCACGGAAAUAGAACCACGUAUAUGGUCUUUUGUGACUGGCUUCUUUCUCUUAGAUCAUCCAUGUUAUAGCACAUGCCUGUACUUUCUUUUCAUGGCCAAGUAAUGUUCCAUUGAAUAAAUAUGCUGC
ensembl:lncRNA